ensembl:snRNA U4 U4 spliceosomal RNA
AACUCUGCGCAGUGGCAGUAUUGUAGCCAAUGAAAUUUAUCUGAGGCACGAUUAUUGCUAAUUGAAAACUCAUUUAAUUUUGUUAGAAAAGCUUGCUUUAUUUUUGCUACAACUCAAAGAUU